rnacentral:rRNA from 1 species
UACGUAGGUGGCAAGCGUUGUCCGGAUUUAUUGGGUUUAAAGGGUGCGUAGGCGGUCUUUUAAGUCAGUGCUGAAAUAUCCCGGCUCAACCGUGGAGGGUCAUUGGAAACUGGGGAACUUGAGUGCAGGAGAGAAGAGUGGAAUUCCACGUGUAGCGGUGAAAUGCGUAGAGAUGUGGAGGAACACCAGUGGCGAAGGCGACUCUUUGGCCUGUAACUGACACUGAGGCGCGAAAGCGUGGGGAGCAAACAGG